GUGAUCUGGAAUUGGCCCCAUCCCCCAGCCCGCAGCCCCUCCUGCCACCCUGACACUGUCGUCCUACCUGGGGAGGUGCAGGGGGCCCCGAGCAAGGACCCAACAUCCCCGGGAGGCGGAGGCGGCGUGCAGGCCGUGCAGCUGGGUUCUCCUCUCGGCCUCAGCCGGAACGGGAGGGGCCCCUUUUCCUCACCUCCAGGGCCUGAUUUAAUCCUUGAGAGGCUCUGGUUUGGAAUUCUCAGGGCAUUGUCUAGAGGGUGAGGGGGUGUCCUGGGGGCUGGGGGCUGGAAGAGAGGAGGGCAUGCCCGCUCAGCCCCUGCCCUUCCCCCGGCAUCCCCUGGAGCCGGUGUUUAUCUUCCAGAUUCAGAAUUUCCAGGCAUGAUGACUGGUGUGAGUCAGACAAAAUGCACUUAGAAUUCAUCGUGACGGCCUCAAGGAGGUGGUCAGGAUGGACACCCACAGUCUGGUGCCCAGAUUACAGACGUCAGGACCAGCUGGGUGGGGACUGGUCGUGCCGAGUCAGGUGUGUGUGUGCCCGUGUGUGUGUGUGUCCGUGUUCCCGUGUGCCCGUGUUCCCGUGUGUGUGCCCGGUGUGUGUGCCCGUGUGUGUGUGUGUGUCCGUGUGUGUGUGUGUGUGUGUCCAUGUGCCCGUGUGUGUGUCUGUGUGCCCGUGUGUGUGUGUCCAUGUGCCCAUGUGUGUGUGCCCGUGUGUGUGUGUAUGCCUGUGUGUGUGUGUGUGUGUCCAUGUGCCCGUGUGUGUGUCUGUAUGUCCAGCAGGGGCACCUGUGUCCUCCCACGAAGCCUGGGCAUCAGGAGGCCCUCUGAGCUGAUGAUGGGAGUUGCUUUUUCUUGGAAAUACUGUUUAUGUUAACGAGCCAUGGGUUUCUGCGGCUCAUUAUUAUUUUACUGAGCAUUGGGCCUUUGGGUUUUGUCUGACAUGGGGAGACAGCAGUCUCAGAGGAGAGGAAACAGCAAGCAAGCGCUCUCCGCAAACGUCACGUGGCCCUGGGUGCAUCUCGAUCCUGGCCCUGCCCUGGGCGUCCUCCUGCGCCCCCGCCCCGGGCACAGCGGCCAGCGGGCAGCAGCGAGCCGGCGCGGGAGUCCUACAGGAAUCCCGUCCCAGUUGGCCCGAGGUGACUCCGGAUUGUCCAGGGAGCCUUUGGCUCCAUCUGCCUGGAAGCCUGCCCCUCUGCAGCCCGAGCCCAGGCCCGCGGGGGCGGCCAAGAGUGCGCGGGAGAGCUGCCGGCCAGGCACGCGGCCCGGCGGGGCAGGAAGCAACCUCCACGCAGCAGCUCGGGAGCCCGGCCCGGGGCUUGCUCCAGCCUCUGACUUCCUUUCUGCAAGAGCCACGCUGGGCCUGCCACCGUGGUUCCCCAACAGGCCUGCGGCAUCGGGGCCCUAUGACCGAAGUACACGUCCUCCUGGGGCAGGCUCAGGCCUCCGACCGUCCAGCGUGGCCCCCGGCCCUUCCAGUCUCAUGCGCCCCAUCAGAGGAAAUGUCCUCCUGGCCUCCCUGCCCUCCCUCGGACGCUGUGAGUCCACCUGCCACUUCCCCUGUGGACCGACCUGCACGACCUGCGAAGGAGAGGGUGAGACGGGGUCGGCAGGAAAAGAUGCACGCUCCAGCCCACGAAGACGUGUGGGAAGCUGCUUCCGGCAGGCCGGGGACAUCCUCUCUCCUCGUGGGUCUUUCUUCUCUUUACACCAUCAAUUCUCAAAUCUCUGGGCUCAGAACUUUUUAACUCUUAAAAACUUUUGAGGACUGCAAUAGCUCUUGUUUCAUUCUUCUCUGUAACGGAAAUUUAAACUGAGAACUGCUUUCAUGCUCAUUUAUUUGUAAAUAACAACAAUAAGACCAUUACCUGAUAAUAUAACUUUCUGAACAGUUUUCCAGAAAGAAAAAACACACGGCCGGGAGGGCCAUGUGGGGUCUCCGCCACCUGGCUGGAUGGGAACCGGCGUCCUUGUCUGCACCGCCGUCUUGCCAUCACUCACGAGUGGCCCUGAAGAGCUCACAUCCUUGAGAGGACUGGUCCUCAGCACACCUCCUGCCUGGAAGAGCCUCCGGCACCUCGGGGGUCCCUAGGGUGCACUUGGAGAGCUGUGUCUCCCUCAUUCUCCUCAAGCCUCAGCCCAGCCUUGCCCUCCCUGCCUGUCCUCAGCCUCCCCCGGGAGCCUUGUAUUUCACAAUUGCUCUGCUCUUGUUCCUUCUGCUGAUGGCACAUUCCUUCCAUAUUUCCUUCUGCAAAUCCCUAAAAGAGAGAAUCCGUUUGGCGUGCUUCUCUUCUUUGAGCUGGAGCCCCAGGUCGAAGUCCUGGGCCCACUGUGGGGUUGGGGGAAGUCCUGGAGGGAGAACCCCACCCUGUGUGUGCAGGGAACAUUUACAAGUAUUCCUGAAUAAACUCCCGCUGCCAACAAGCCCA
ensembl:lncRNA uncharacterized LOC113883881